rnacentral:rRNA from 1 species
AAAGUCUAAUCUUCCCACUGAUNAAAUUAUUAAAGGGCUGCAGUAUUUUGACUGUGCAAAGGUAGCAUAAUCAUUAGUCUCUUAAUUGGUGACUUGUAUGAAAGAUUGGAUGAAAUAUAUACUGUCUCUAAUUAAUUUAUAAAAUUUAAUUUUUUAGUAAAAAAGCUAAAAUAAGUUUAAAAGACGAGAAGACCCUAUAGAGUUUAAUAAUUUAUUUAAUUAUUAUUAAUAUUUAAAUUUUAAAAUUAAAAUUAAAUAAAUUAUUUUGUUGGGGUGAUAGAAAAAUUAAAUUAACUUUUUUUUUAUUUUAUACAUAAAUUUAUGAAUAGAUGAUCCAUUAAUAAUGAUUAAAAGAAAAAAUUACCUUAGGGAUAACAGCGUAAUUUUUUUUUUUAGUUCAAAUAGGAAAAAAAGUUUGCGACCUCGAUGUUGGAUUAAGAUAAAAUUUAAAUGCAAAAGUUAAAA